GUCUAUGGCCAUGCCACCCUGAACAAGCCCGAUCCCAUCUGAUCUCGGAAGCUAAGCAGGGUUAGGCAUGGUUAGUACUUGGGAGACCAGCUAGGAAGACCAGGUGCUAUAGGCA
rnacentral:rRNA from 1 species